rnacentral:rRNA from 1 species
CCUGAUCCAGCCAUCCCGCGUGUGCGAUGAAGGCCUUCGGGUUGUAAAGCACUUUUGGCAGGAAAGAAACGGCUCUGGAUAAUACCUGGGGCAAAUGACGGUACCUGCAGAAUAAGCACCGGCUAACUACGUGCCAGCAGCCGCGGUAAUACGUAGGGUGCAAGCGUUAAUCGGAAUUACUGGGCGUAAAGCGUGCGCAGGCGGUUCGGAAAGAAAGAUGUGAAAUCCCAGAGCUUAACUUUGGAACUGCAUUUUUAACUACCGGGCUAGAGUGUGUCAGAGGGAGGUGGAAUUCCGCGUGUAGCAGUGAAAUGCGUAGAGAUGCGGAGGAACACCGAUGGCGAAGGCAGCCUCCUGGGAUAACACUGACGCUCAUGCACGAAAGCGUGGGGAGCAAACAGGAUUAGAUACCCUGGUAGUCCACGCCCUAAACGAUGUCAACUAGCUGUUGGGGGCUUCGGCCCUUGGUAGCGCAGCUAACGC